CGGAGCAUGCGGAGCUUCGGUGGUCCCUCAGCGGGACCAGGAAUGGGAGCGGGACCGGCCCUUCCCGGCCUGGUCAUGGCGAAACUGAGGGGCCCCUCGGUGGCGGGAAGCCGGUGCUGGUCGAGGAGAGCCCACCCGGCCAGGGCCACGCUGCCCUUCCCGCGCCAUGUUGUGGCGAAGCUCCCUGAGGGCCGGUCCCGCUUCCCCUCGGCCCUGAGCGGCCCCAGAUGGGGGACGUGAGGGGGAGAGUGAAGCCCAUCAGCAGGCAAAAAAUGAAGGGGCAAAGAUUGUGUGUCUUCAGAAAAGAAGGGUGAUGCUUCACACAGAGGCUACCCACCAAAUGCCUUUGUAACACUGCUUUCCAAGAGACAAAGCCACAUGACUGGGAGAGCAGGAGGUGUCCCAGAUCCGAG